AAAUUUCUAUUUAUUUGUUCAUUACUCCAUACAGCUAGGGCUUACACACUCAAGUUGGAAUUUUUUUGAGUCGGGGCACGGAAAAAGCGUCUCUGAUGGAGUUGGUGGCAUGGUUAAGGGAACCGCUGAUCGCGAAGUAGCAAAGGGAAAAGAUGUGGCAAGCAUUGCUCAAUUUAUUGAUAUAGACAAAAACAAUUUGAAAACAACUAAAAUUUUUCAAAUAAAUGAAGAAGAUAUUUUAUUAGUAGACGCAAUACUUAAAGAUAAAAUUCUAAAACAAAUACCAAACACGAUGCAACUUCACCAGCUUACAUGGAAUGCAGUCAAUAAAUAAAUAGUACACUUAAGGGAACUUUCAUGUAGUCAAUGCAAGGAGCUCUGUUCUCAUAACGAUUUACUUCCAAAUCUAUACCCAAUUUAUGGCAUAAUACCUAACAAUAAGAAAACUGGUAAAGACAUCUUAGCAGAUGUCACAGAAGAUACCCCAGAGGAUAUUAUACCAGAUGUUGCCGAAGAAAGCAUAAAAAGUGAAGGCGAUUGGGUGGCUGUUGUUUUUGAUGCUGAAUGGUUUCCAGGGCAGAUUUUAAGACUUGAAGACAUUAACCUAGUUAUAUCCUU